GAUGAACGCUGGCGGCGUGCCUAAUACAUGCAAGUCGAGCGAAUGGAUUAAGAGCUUGCUCUUAUGAAGUUAGCGGCGGACGGGUGAGUAACACGUGGGUAACCUGCCCAUAAGACUGAGAUAACUCCGGGAAACCGGGGCUAGUACCGGAUAACAUUUUGAACCGCAUGGUUCGAAAUUGAAAGGCGGCUUCGGCUGUCACUUAUGGAUGGACCCGCGUCGCAUUAGCUAGUUGGUGAGGUAACGGCUCACCAAGGCAACGAUGCGUAGCCGACCUGAGAGGGUGAUCGGCCACACUGGGACUGAGACACGGCCCAGACUCCUACGGGAGGCAGCAGUAGGGAAUCUUCCGCAAUGGACGAAAGUCUGACGGAGCAACGCCGCGUGAGUGAUGAAGGCUUUCGGGUCGUAAAACUCUGUUGUUAGGGAAGAACAAGUGCUAGUUGAAUAAGCUGGCACCUUGACGGUACCUAACCAGAAAGCCACGGCUAACUACGUGCCAGCAGCCGCAGUAA
rnacentral:rRNA from 1 species